UAAGCCUUGACAUACUACAGAAUUUGACAGAGAUGUUGAAGUGCCUUCGGGAGCUGUAAUACAGGUGCUGCACGGCUGUCGUCAGCUCGUGUCGUGAGAUGUUGGGUUAAGUCCCGCAACGAGCGCAACCCUCGUCCUUAGUUACUAACGGUUCGGCCGAGGACUCUAAGGAGACUGCCUUCGUAAGGAGGAGGAAGGUGAGGACGACGUCAAGUCAUCAUGGCCCUUACGGCUAGGGCAACACACGUGCUACAAUGGUUAGGACAAUGAGAAGCGAUACCGCGAGGUGGAGCAAAUCUAUAAACCUAAUCUCAGUUCGGAUAGCAGUCUGCAACUCGACUGCUUGAAGCUGGAAUCACUAGUAAUCGUAAAUCAGCUAUGUUACGGUGAAUACGUUCCCGGGUCU
rnacentral:rRNA from 1 species